UUUAACCUUUGAUCUGUGUGUGAUAAGGAUCCUGACUACCCCUCUCGUAUGUGUGUGAUUAGGAUCCUGACCCAUAGGACUGGUACCUAUUUUUACGUAAUUAUCCACUCUAAUUCUAUCGCAAAAGGUAUAAUGUUGUGUUUUGAACAAAAUUGAAUAAAUGAUCUAUCAUAGACAAUCAUCAUUCGGAUGAAAUGUUCAAUAGUUCCGCUAGAAAAAUCGGUUGAAAUUCCGUCUCGACCAGUGAUACUUCAACUACCAAAAGUGAAUACUAAAAGUGAAAAAUAAGCUGAAAAUUGUUAAAAAAGAUAAAAUGGAUUUAACAAAUCCUUCAGCUCCGUCAACUUCACGACCUCUUAUCUUUCCAGGCGACGCCACAAGGAUCACUGCACCCUUAUUAGUGAUAAUACGGCUCUUAUAAGAAUAAUAUUUUGGUCAUAUAAACCAUAAUAAGAACAGUUGUUUUUGAUUGUAUAUGAAUAAAUGAUUUAACAUGUAGAUAUCUAUCUCUCAAUCUAACUAAAGUGAUAUCUAAAUAAUAAAAAAAAUACCUAUUA
rnacentral:lncRNA from 1 species